rnacentral:rRNA from 1 species
UACAGAGGUCUCAAGCGUUGUUCGGAUUCAUUGGGCGUAAAAGGGGUGCGUAGGCGGCGCGGUAAGUCGGGUGUGAAAUCUUGGAGCUUAACUCCGAAACUGCAUUCGAUACUGCCGUGCUUGAGGACUGGAGAGGAGACUGGAAUUUACGGUGUAGCGGUGAAAUGCGUAGAUAUCGUAAGGAAGACCAGUGGCGAAGGCGGGUCUCUGGACAGUUCCUGACGCUGAGGCACGAAGGCCAGGGGAGCAAACGGG